CCUGGUGGCUCAGAUGGUAAAGCGUCUGCCUGCAAUGCAGGAGACCUGGGUUUAAUCCCUGGGUCAGGA
rnacentral:tRNA from 1 species